CGACGAAAGCUUAGCUUUAGUGGCAAACGGGUGAGUAACACGUAAGAAUCUGCCUUCAGGAGGGAAAUAACAUUUGGAAACGAUUGCUAAUGUCCCAUAUGCUGAAAAGUGAAAUAAUUUUUGCCUGAAGAUGAGCUUGCGCCUGAUUAGCUAGUUGGUAAGGUAAUGGCUUACCAAGGCUACGAUCAGUAGCUGGUUUGAGAGGAUGAUCAGCCACACUGGAACUGAGACACGGUCCAGACUUCUACGGAAGGCAGCAGUGGGGAAUUUUCCGCAAUGGGCGAAAGCCUGACGGAGCAAUACCGCGUGAGGGAUGAAUGCCUGUGGGUUGUAAACCUCUUUUAUCAGGGAAGAAUAUUGACGGUACCUGAUGAAUAAGCAUCGGCUAACUCCGUGCCAGCAGCCGCGGUAAUACGGGGGAUGCAAGCGUUAUCCGGAAUUAUUGGGCGUAAAGAGUCUGUAGGUUGUUUAAUAAGUCUGCUGUUAAAUAUUAGAGCUCAACUCUAAAAAAGCAGUAGAAACUAUUAAACUAGAGUAUGGUAGGGGCAAAGGGAAUUCCCAGUGUAGCGGUGAAAUGCGUAGAUAUUGGGAAGAACACCAGAAGCGAAGGCGCUUUGCUGGGCCAUAACUGACACUCAGAGACGAAAGCUAGGGGAGCAAAUGGGAUUAGAUACCCCAGUAGUCCUAGCUGUAAACGAUGGAUACUAGAUGUUGCGCGUAUCGAUCCGUGCAGUAUCGUAGCUAACGCGUUAAGUAUCCCGCCUGGGAAGUAUGCUCGCAAGAGUGAAACUCAAAGGAAUUGACG
rnacentral:rRNA from 1 species